UAAAAGAUCCUUUCCAUGUGUGCUGUUCGGCUAGCGGCGGCAGCGGCCCAGUCAGUGUAUGCCUUCUCGGCGCGCCCGCUGGCCGGCGGGGAGCCUGUGAGCCUGGGCUUCCUGCGGGGCAAGGUGCUACUUACCGAGAAUGUGGCGUCCCUCUGAGGCACCACGGUCCGGGACUACACCCAGAUGAACGAGCUGCAGCGGCGCCUUGGGCCCCGGGGCCUGGUGGUGCUCGGCUUCCCAUGCAACCAGUUUGGGCUUCAGGAGAACACCAAGAACAAAGAGAUUCUGAAUUUCCUCAAGUACGUCCGACCUGGUGGUGGGUUCGAGCCCAACUUCAUGCUCUUCGAGAAGUGCGAGGUGAACGGUGGAGGGGCGCACCCUCUCUUCGCCUUCCUGCGGGAGGCCCUGCCAGCCCCCAGCGACGAUGCCACUGCACUCGUGACCGACCCCAAGUUCAUCACCUGGUCUCCGGUGUGCCACAACGAUGUUGCCUGGAACUUCGAGAAGUUCCUGGUGGGCCCUGGCGGUGUGCCCGUACGCAGGUACAGCCGCCGCUUCCAGACCAUUGACAUCGAGCCUGACAUCGAAGCCCUGCUGUCUCAAGGUCCCAGCAGUGCCUAGGGCCCUCUUCCUACCCCGGCUGCUUGGCAGUUGCAGCGCUGCUCUCCGGGGGGGGUUUUCAUCUAUGAGGGUGUUUCCUCUAAACCUACAAGGAGGAACACCUGAUAAUACAGAAAAUGCCCCCUUGAGAUGGGCGCUCGUCCUGUCCAUCCCAGUCUCUGCCAGACCAAGGCGAGUUUCCCCACUAAUAAAGUGCCCGUUGUCAGCAAAAAAAAAAAAAAAAAAAAAAAAA